GAUCACCUGUUCUUCUCCCAUUCCAGGUGCCUUCAGGACAAUGAGUGGAACUACACCAGAGCUGGUCAGGCCUUCACUACGCUCAAGACAGGGGGCAAGAUCCCAGAGGAGGCCUUCAAACAAAUCCCCUGAAAGGAGCCCUUGGAUCGCGUCUUUGCCUUCAUCCACGUCAUCUUUGUUUCUCUUUUCUGCAGCCUACGGCCAUGCCCAUGCUGGGGUGGGAGGCCUGGCUGACUGAGAAGGCAAAGUUAACUUGUAGGGCCGGGUACAUAACACCUGAAGGGUCAGUUGUUCUGUGUAUUUUCCCCACUCACGAUUGCUGUUUAUUUGCAUAAUAAAGAGUGACGUUGCACGUUG